UUGUCGAAACCUGCAAAGCAGAACGACCCGCGAACCGUUGUCGAAAACAACGACGGGGCGGGGGCGAGCCGCGGGCCCGUCCCGCUCUCUCCCCCGGCCCCGUCCCACGAACAAAACCCCGGCGCGAGAUGCGCCAAGGAAUCAAAAACGAAAAGACAGGGAACGGGCGGCCCGUCGCGUGCCGGAAACGGAUCUCUCGCGGGCGGCCCUUUCUCUUUCGGAAACAAAACGACUCUCGGCAACGGAUAUCUCGGCUCUCGCAUCGAUGAAGAACGUAGCGAAAUGCGAUACUUGGUGUGAAUUGCAGAAUCCCGUGAACCAUCGAGUCUUUGAACGCAAGUUGCGCCCGAAGCCUUCGGGCCGAGGGCACGUCUGCCUGGGUGUCAUGCAUCGUCGCCCCCCCAUCCUUCCGUCUCCCCCGAGGGGGAAGGGGGUACGGGGCGGGCGGAGAUUGGUCUCCCGUGCGCUCCCGCUCGCGGUUGGCCGAAAUACGAGUUGUUGGCGGCCGAGAGCGCCACGGCAAGCGGUGGUUGUCAAAGACCUUCGGAGAUUGCCGUUGGCGAGGCCGUCACGAGGCUCCGGGACCCUGUUUUCUAACCACAGCGACCCCAGGUCAGGCGGGAUUACCCGCUGAG
rnacentral:rRNA from 1 species